CGCUCUUCGCAAAAGAGGUAUCUGUUGAAUGAAGAGUCCUGCCUGCCCAGUGACCUUGGUUAAACGGCCGCGGUAUUUUGACCGUGCAAAGGUAGCAUAAUCAUUUGCCUUUUAAAUAAAGGCUGGUAUGAAUGGCAAGACGGGGGUUUGACUGUCUCUUUCCUAGGGAAGUUUAAUUUAAUUUUUUUGUGAAGAAGCGAAGAUAAGAUCGUAGGACGAGAAGACCCUGUCGAGCUUGAGUGAAGGCAAUAGGCGUAGGAUUAGUUUACUUCUUGCUAAUUUAUUUUAUAGGAAAGUUUAGUUUUAUAAAAGGUAGAUUGGUGUUUUGUUGUUUUUCGUUUUGAUUGGGGCAAUUGCGGAGAAUAGGUAACCUCCGUUGUAAUUAAUGUUCUAAAGUAAUUUCUUUUUUGGUGUAUAAUAUACGUUAUUAAUGAUCCACUGAAACUAGUGAGCAAAAGAAUAAGUUACCGCAGGGAUAACAGCGUGAUUUUUUUAGAGAGUUCAUAUUGAUAAGGAAGUUUGCGACCUCGAUGUUGGAUCAAGAUUUCCUGGAGAUGCAGAAGUUUCCAAGGGUUGGUCUGUUCGACCAUUAAAAUCUU
rnacentral:rRNA from 1 species